CCUACGUGAGGCAGCAGUGAGGAAUAUUUGUCAAUGGGCGCGAGCCUGAACCAGCCAAGUCGCGUGAAGGAUGACUGCCCUACGGGUUGUAAACUUCUUUUAUAAAGGAAUAAAGUGAGGAACGUGUGCCUUUUUGUAUGUACUUUAUGAAUAAGGAUCGGCUAACUCCGUGCCAGCAGCCGCGGUAAUACGGAGGAUCCGAGCGUUAUCCGGAUUUAUUGGGUUUAAAGAGAGCGUAGAUGGGUUGUUAAGUAAGUUGUGAAAGUUUGCGGCUCAACCGUAAAAUUGCAAUUGAUACUGGCAGUCUUGAGUACAGUUGAGGUAGGCGGAAUUCGUGGUGUAGCGGUGAAAUGCUUAGAUAUCACGAAGAACUCCGAUUGCGAAGGCAGCUUACUAAACUGCCACUGACAUUGAUGCUCGAAAGUGUGGGUAUCAAACAGGAUUAGAUACCCUUGUAGUC
rnacentral:rRNA from 1 species